AGUACCAAGAGACAUCUAUCAGAGAAUUAAAAAACUUGAAGAUAAAAUCCUUGAAUUGGAGGGCAUCUCUCCUGAAUACUUUCAAUCUGUAAACUUUUCUGGAAAAAGAAGAAAAGUCCAACCACCUCAACAGAACUAUUCACUGGCUGAACUGGAUGAGAAAAUUAGUGCUCUCAAACGAGCCCUGCUCAGAAAGUCGAGAGAAGCAGACUCCAUGGCCUCUCACCACCUCCCGUGAGACCACACUGUCACGUUGCUUCCCUUUAAGAUGCGAGUGCGUGUACCUUACAAAUGCUUAACUAUUUGCAAUGUAUUCAUCAACAUAACCUUGUCUGGAAAGUCAAGGUUUACUUUUGCAUGAGACUGGCCGACAGCAAAUAAUCAAAUAUUGCAGUGUUUGGAAAUGAUAUAACCCUUGACCAUAGCACUGUUGGAAUUUGUUUCCUUCUGUUUUAAAGGAGGCAUUUUGGAUAGUACAAAACUUAAUUUGAAAGAACUUCUUUUGGUGGACCACCAGAGAUUUUUUAUUUUGAUAGUUGUAUUUAAAAGGACUUUAUAUUUGUAACAUUGAUUAACCAAUUUUUUUUUUCAGUUUAUAUCAGUACUUUGUACAUAGUGGGCAUUUAACAAAAUUUAUUGACAGUAAAACAAAAGCUGAC
rnacentral:lncRNA from 1 species